rnacentral:rRNA from 1 species
AUUGAACGCUGGCGGCAUGCCUAACACAUGCAAGUCGAACGGCAGCACAGUAAAGAUGUCGGUCUUUAUGGGUGGCGAGUGGCGGACGGGUGAGUAAUGCGUAGGAAUCUGUCCUGGAGAGUAGGAUAACCCGAGGAAACUCGGGCUAAUACUGGAUGAUAUCGAGAGAUCAAAGGCAGGGGACCCUGCGGGGCCUUGCGCUCUAGGAUGAGCCUACGUCCGAUUAGCUAGUUGGUGGGGUAAAGGCCAACCAAGGCGACGACCCGUAGCUGGUCUGAGAGGAUGACCAGCCACACUGGGACUGAGACACGGCCCAGACUCCUACGGGAGGCAGCAGUGGGGAAUCUUGGACAAUGGGGGAAACCCUGAUCCAGCGAUGCCGCGUGUGUGAAGAAGGCCUUCGGGUUGUAAAGCACUUUAGUUGGGGAAGAAAAGUAAUGAGUGAAUAACUGAUUGCUCUGACGGUACCCAAAGAAUAAGCACCGGCUAACUCUGUGCCAGCCGCCGCCGUAA